ACAAGUACCGUGAGGGAAAGUUGCAAGGCACUUUGAAGAGAGAGUUAAAGAGGACGUGAAACCGGUAAGGUGGAAACGGAUAGAGUCGGCGUAUCAUUCAAUUAUUCAGUUACAUUAUUUUUAUGUUGUGACCUCUGAGCUCCAGAUUGGGACAGAGGGAAUCAGCAUAAUUUUUUGUGGUGCAUUUACUUGAUUGGUGCUUGGGGAUGUUUGAGGCAGAUUUGUUUCCGUCGUUUUGAGGCCAGCUUGCUGGUACCCAAACGGUGUUAGCAUUUUUUGUCUUGGGCAUUUGAGUAUGGCUCACGUGUAUUUAUUGGACAGAUCUUAGUGUAAGUUACGGUCGCAUGCGACACGUGCUUUUCAAUUAGUUCGGUCCAGUUAAUGCUCUCGUACUCGUUCCCCAUGUAAAAGCCGGUCAUCUAUCCGACCCGUCUUGAAACACGGACCAAGGAGUUUAUCGUGUGCGCAAGUUUUUGGGUGUUAAAAACUUAAAAGCGAAAUGAAAGUAAAUGACUCUUUAGAGUCUGAUGUGCGAUCUUGUUAAAAAGUGUAGCAUGGCCCCAUUCUAACUGUUUACAGUAGGGUGGCGGAAGAGCGUACGCGGUGAGACCCGAAAGAUGGUGAACUAUUCCUGAGCAGGACGAAGCCAGAGGAAACUCUGGUGGAAGUCCGAAGCGGUUCUGACGUGCAAAUCGAUCGUCUGACUUGGGUAUAGGGGCGAAAGACUAAUCGAACCAUCUAGUAGCUGGUUCCUUCCGA
rnacentral:rRNA from 1 species